CUCACUAUAAAGAACUUCCACUUGCCAUCUCUAUAUGGAUUUUCUUUUUGCUACUGAUUUUGGCUAAAGGUUUUUCUGCUCUCAUCUCUAUAUGGAUAUGCUUUUUUUCAGGUUAGUAGUUUAGGAGUUCCUGCCAACACUGGUUUUUGGAAGUUAUACUCACUUCACCAGUUGGGCUUAACAAGGACAUAAUUAAUUCUCUGUUGGUAAUUAGAAGGAAAAAAAAUCUGGUUGGAGAAAACAUCUCUUUUGCUUAAUUGUUUGCUUCAUAAUUUUAGUAAUAUUUUUUUUCAUUUUUUUAGGUUAGUAGUAUGGGAGUACCUGUCAUGAAUAACUUUUGGAAGUUAUGCUAGCCUCAUCAGUUGGGUUUCUAUACCAAACUAGACUCAAUAUAAUUUAUGUUGGUGCUUGCGAUGAGUAUUACAGAGGGGUGAUGACCACAUAGUUCACCCAGUGUAUCUGUUCAUGUAUGUUAUUAAUUAUCUAAUUAGACAAACAAAAACUCUGUCUGUAUGGUGUUUGCGAUGAUGCUAUCAAUUCACUGAACACUAAAAUACAAGGUUGUGAUUUUCAAAUCUAGCAAAUAAAUUUUCUCCAAUGCUUCUUUUCCAGGCAGAAGUUUUAGUCUAUUCUAUGCCAUGAGUCUUACUGUCAAAAAAAUACUAUAUGGUAGCAUCAGAAGUUGUCUCCAUCAGAUAGAACACUGCCUAAUAGCUAGAUUCAUUUUAUUACUGUAUAGCCAUGGUGACAAAAAAAUUCAGAUAACAAGAAACAAUUCUGUCAAAUAUUCUCAGCGGAGAUACUGUUGCGGUCUAUAAGAAAAAAAAUGUUAAUUAUUUAUUAAACAGAAAACUAUGUUAUGCAUACCAACAGAUGCUAAACAAUCAGACUACCUGACAGAAAAGUAUAUAUACAUUAGUUAAAUUUCAUUCCAAAAAUAGAUGAUGUAUUGGUAGAUGUUAAUCAUACAAGAACACGAGGAUGACAAACAUAAAUUAAUCAUAUAUAUUAUCAUCACAGGUCGAUCUAACUGGUGGUAGUUUUUCUUUGCAAUGAAAACAAAUUUGAAUCAAAUGAUUCAAACAACCAAAAAGAAGGAAACAAAGGAUGCUUAUGGAUCUGAAUGGGUUAGGACGCUCCACUACUUGCAAGUAAUACAUAUAGAUCCAGCGACUCAGUGGCAGAGCUACUCUCGACAACACCGCACUGGCUCUACCCGGAGUCAUCACGGAAAUUACAACAAGAAAUGUGAAGUAAUUAGUACUCCCACCGUUUGUUUUUAUAAGAAGUUUCAGACAGCUUGCUUUGUAUUCUUUUAAACAGUGUCUGAAUGUCUAAAACAUCUUAUAAAAAGGAACAGAGAUAGUAUUUUUUUUCCAUGGGCAUAUGACCGCCGGCCAGUUGCCUUUGUGCUCAUGCCGGUGUUGUACCAGUAAAUUGACUCCAUCACUGCAGCGACCUGAAAGAACAUCAACUGUUUGUGGAGUUGGGAAUUUCUUCUCCGAGGAGAGAAAUGUUUAGUAUGUCUCUAAAUCACUCAACUGUCCUCCCGGACAAAGAUGAGUUUAAUAUGGUCCGUCGAUACAGAGAAGGCCUGCUAUCACAUACCGCUUAUUGGGUUGUGUAACAUUUAAUCUCAUUCCAACUCCACAUAUCCAACAAAGAAGCUUAUACCAAAAAAAAAAGAGCGGUUUUUUGUAGCACGAGCUACACGGUACCCCUAUCAAAACCGCCGUGUUUUGAAAUUAGCAGUGUAGCAGUGCUUUUGUCCACAGGCCCGUCAUAUCCAUUGCUAGCUUUUGUCCACAGGCGUCUGGAUGCAUGCUUUUGUCCACAGGCCCGUCAUAUCCAUUGCCAGCGUGAGGCCCUAGUUAGCUUUUUCAGAGACUGCAAUGUCACUGUACUCACGCGGCUACUGCUUCCCUUCUCAGCAUGCGCCUGCAACGAGUAGCGCCCGGCUGCGUCCUCGAGUCGUGUAGCACCUUGGGUGGCGGCAGGGUAAUGCGCAUGUCAGAGGAGGCUGAGCGGUGCCAUUUUUUUAUCUGUUUUUUUUAUGUUUACAAGAUAAAUGUGUACAAUCUCUAAAAAUCUCAACUCGAAACUCGAAGUGCACACAGAGAUAAAAAAGACGAAAUUACUCUACGGACGACAGAUACCAACCGAACUGUGGACGACGGGAGGAUUCAACGGCGAUGUUCACUUUUGGACUAUGCAUGGAUGGCCGGAUGCCCUUUAUCGUCUGCAAAUCGUCCAGAGUGUGUCGUUUGUGUAGCACAGCUCUAAAAAAGAAGAUAAUUCGAACAUGAAUAAUGUCACAAGAAGACAAAAGCAAAAAUGAUACUAUUUCACAUAUGAAUUUGUCUUUUUUAUCUACAUGACUGGAGUAAAUUGCAGAAAACCACCACUUUGAAGGCAAGCUUUGCGAAAACCAUUACAAUACAUUUUUUUUUGCAAAAAACACCGUGUCUACGGUAAUCUUUUUGCAGAAAGCACUGAUCGGCGGAUUGGAGCGUUUUAAGUAUGUUUAUGACAAGUGGGUCCAGAUUUUGCCGACGUGGCGUAACGGCUCUGUCAAAACAGCGUUAGAUGGGGGAUUUUACAAGGAGGCCCUUACGUCAAAAUAAAAAAAGCAAUCAACUCCAUGGACGAGCUCUUCUUCGCCAGCGGCGUGGCCGCGCCGGCGAUGCAGCCCCAACGACGCGGGCAGAGAUGACCCCCUACGGGGUCUGGACGAACUGGAGGGAGGCGAGGCGGUUCCUGACGGGUUCGGCUGCUGUCACCGCCGGCGAGGACUGCCUGAGCUGGGGAGGACCAGCGGGCUCAGGCACACCACAAACCUCGAGAUCCCGUCGCCGUUGGCGCCUGCUGGUGAUGGUGCCUGGCCGGGGAGGGCGACGAGAACCACCAGCUGCUGCUCGUGCUGCCUCCUGGGGACUCGGGCUCCUCGUCCACCGGCCGCGGCAGCGACGAGGAUGACGCGUCCGGCCUGGGCGAGGCAACGGCGGCUGGGCGAGGGAACGGCGGCGCGGGCCUAGCGAGGCAACGGCGGCGACGAGCCUGGCGAGGCAACGGCGGCGGCGGGCCUGGGCGAGGGAACGGCGGCGGCGGGCCUAGCGAGGCAACGACGGCGACAAGCCUGGCGAGGCAACAGCGACGGUGGACCUGGUGAAGAUAAGAUGAACCACCAUUUUUCUUUUUUCUUCCAAUGACAGGUGGACCCACAUAGGGAUGAUAACGUUACCAGACGUUGCCGUUACAUGCGAGAUGUUAAGCUGUGCCACAUCAGCCUAACUGGCGGGUCCCCUCUGUCAUAAACUCACUUAUCUGAGCCCGAUCCGCCGAUCAAUACUUUCUGCAAAAAGAUUACUGUAGACACGGUGUUUUUUGCAAAGAAAAUGUAUUGUAGUGGUUUUCGCAAAGCUUGCCUUCAAAGUGGUGGUUUUAUGCAAUUUACUCACAUGACCGAGUUUGGAGUUGAAAUUUUAAGGGGUUGUACACACUUAUCUUGUGAACAUCCACACACAAAAUCAGAAUUUUUUUAUAUUUAAAAAAUUGAGUUUUGUGAGAUUGGAUCAUGGUGUAGCACCUAAUCCAUGUGAGCACUAGAUAUUCUCUUGACAUACAUGCCAACGCGGUCUCUCUCUCCUCCCGUUUCCUGUCUUUGGAGGAAGUCAGACAUGCAUGCAGAAAGGAAAGUGAGAGAGCGCCCGCGAGAGAGAAAGAAACAUGUUCCUUCAGCGAAGUGACGGAGAGAGAAGAGCUAACGCAUGGCGACAACUGGUUCUGCUAAUAGUCUGACUCUGCCUCCAGCCAUUGCACACAUACCAAACUGAACAGACGGUGGUGAUACUGGGCACCGUGGAGCUCGGGCUAGGGAAGAACUUUGCGCAAAGAGAAAGCUACAAAUUGGAUGAUUGAUUCCUAUGAAAUUCAUGUUACACAUAUUUUAUUUCAAAAAGGGGAUUACCCGGCCCUCUGCAUCAAAUGACGCACACAUUCAUAUUAUUAAACAUAAAUCAAGUUACAAUCACGGAGUUCCAGACUUAUUUCAUCAAGUAGUUUUCUUCUAUUUGAACUCAAUUUCUUCUAUUUCUCUGAGCCGUGAGCUUAUAUCAGCGGUGAGCUCAUAUAUAUUCUGCAUUGUGAACUCAUUUUAGUUUUAUAUAUGAACUCAUUAGGUGAACUCAUCACGGUUUUUUGGCAGAUGUGAACUUAUUUCAUAUUCAUCUAUGAAUAAUGGUUGACGUGUCUGUAUAUCUCUCCCAUGCCAAUGUACAUAAAUUUGAGGUCUACAUACUUUUGCCACUUCUACCUACAAUUCCAUUCCUGUCUUUGAAUAAGCUACAGCAAGUGCAACAAAACAGAUUGCAACAAGUAGCUUAUGGGCUGAAAUUUGCGGUAUUAUUCAUUUGUCGUAUUGUCGCUCAGUUCAUCGUGGCUGUGAAACUAAACGUGACAUGAUAUUUUUUAUGUAAUUUCUAAAUUGCAAUCCAUAAUCAAGGACAAGACUACAAUAAAUGUGACUUACAUGCUCCUUGCAUUCAACACCUUCAGGACCUGCACGCAUCCAUCUCCUCCUCCGGCCGUUGCUGCCAUUAAGCCACUUGCUCAGGACCUGCACAAGCCAUCCACCUUCUCUUCAGCACCAGCCUCGCCACUAGAAUGCUUCUCCAGCAGGGGAGGGCAAGCACCCGCGGAGAGCUGCGUUGUCGUGUGCGGGCGUGGGGGAGAACCCGCGGCGAGCUGCGGUGGCUUGUGUAGGCAUCCGCGCGGCGAGGACGAGCUGUGCCGGCGCCUGCAGACAUGGACUAGCACCGGCAACGAGCCGCAGUGGCUCACGCAGGCAUCAGCAAGGCAUGGGCCAUCGGCGGGGGAGCUACGGUUGCGCAUGGGCAAGCUAUGGCGGAGAGAUGCGGUGGCUCGCGCAAGAGGUACGGCGACAAGCUAGCCCGAGAGCAAUCCUAUCCAACCAGUCCACACGCAUCAGAUAAGGUUAGAUAGCAUAGGGGCACUUUCAUCCUUUCAAGUGCUAGAAAAUGGAAAAGAAAAAGAAGAGCAAUGGAAAAAGGAGAAAUGACAUGGUAACGAAAGUGCACUGAACUGGGUGGCAUUUUUGUGAAGUCAGUAUUAAAAGCAGAAAAUAACCUAUUUUCUUCUAAAAAAAUAAGAUAAUUCUUUUUUUUUGUCGGGUUGGCUCACGCCCAAACUGGGCCACAAGGCAGUCAACUCCUUCAGACUGACUAAUAUCAAUCCGUUCACCGAGCACUCUUGCAUUUAGCCACAGAGGUAAGUCGACUCCCUGAUUUCCUUGCAGAUCAAUUAGUUGAUUCGGCAUUUUUUUGCACUGCCUAGCCUCGAUUUGUUUUUCAUAUGAAGUGACUCACAUGCUAAAUUUUUUCUUCCUCCCACCUCAACUUAUGUUGGUUUUGAUUAAUUAAAACUUACUCUGCCAGUCAACAAUGUAUAGGUCUGUUACUUUUCGGUACUAUUUAUCUUUCGCUCCUCUACUGCACCGAAUCCAUUGUAGUGGCUGAGCAAAAAAAAAACUUCAGUUUAAACACUUUGUUUGAAAAGAAAUAAAGAUACAUGCAUCUAAGUUUACAACCUUAUUAAACAAAAAAAGUACCUCUCAUGUCCACUUUAUAUUCUGUCAGAGAAGUCAAGACAAAUAAGGAUUCUUAAAAAAAGGGCUAUCUCUAACUUCAAGAUAUUUUGCAAUCCGUCGAGAUCUAGGACAUUCAUCAAUUCAAAAUGGACUAAGUUUGAAUGAAAUGAAAGCAACUUCAACAUUGUGUACAUAGGGAACAAACCACCAAGAACAAAAGCAUAAGAACUAGCCUCAUCUCUUUACCACAACAUCACUGAGACAAACCCAGCGGACAACCAACAUCUUAUCUAAAAAAAGAACAAGAGCUUCACAAUUCUGUGUCCAGUAGCCACUAUCACUAUCUACUGUAGAUCACUUAUGCGUCUACCAACUAGAUGUAUUCUUUUCUUGCAUGAACUACUAAUGAAUCAAGUCUUGGGACGAGUUACCAAAUAUUACAAAAAAACAAAUAGUUUAUAAAUCCAUGUGGCGCGGCGGGCACGCCGCGCACUAUCUGCUAGUAUGCACUAGCAUCGUAUAAAGCUAGAGGCUGUCAUUGGCAAUUUCCUUCUUCUCUGCACGCAGAAGAAAAGCCUACUGACCAGAAGAAAAGGAGGGACUGAGCUGCCUUGGGCGCACAUUCACAGUUUCGAAAGGAAAAACUCAUUUGCAGUUCACUCUCGGUUCUGCCAUAAAUCCUUGCACAACUCACGGCCAGCGUGUGUGUUGCCUCCAGCCCCGGAACUCCAAGGGCGGCAUGGAUGCAGGAUGUAGGAGGAGCAGCAUCGGCUGGUGCGCUCGCGCCGUUGCAGCCGCCGACGGACGGCCAUGUCGCCUCCAGAACCGCCUCUUUGCUGGCACCACCACUGCUGCUCAAUGUUCAAGACAAGGAGGAGAGGUGUAGCCAGCCAACCGCGCGGUAGGCGACGGAGGAGCCAACCGAACGCGCGGGAGACCGCAGGGCCGUCCGAGGCCUACGACCACGGCUACCGCCGCGCCGGCCAGCACGCGCGAGGCGCAAGGGCCACAGCCAGGACACGGAGACGCGCGGGAGGCCGCUCCGAUGUCCAUCGCAACGCCGCGCCGGGAACCCUCGCGGCCGCAAGGCCACGCGCAAGGCAUAACGAAGAGCAGGCGUUCCGGGUGGAGCGGCGCCGGUGGAGAGAAGUGAGGAAGACGGCUGGCGUCGGCCGGGAACGGAGGCGGCGGCGCUCGGGAGAGAGUGGGGGAGGGGGUUACUACUUACUACAGGGGUGGUGUUGGCAGAGGGGACCGGGCUCCGGGGGCCAGAAAAAGGGCCGCAGCGGGCCUCGACCGAGUUUUUCAGGGUUCGCGGGGUUUAGGUUAUGUGUUUACUUUCACCAGAGCGCAUGAAUACGGCAAGAGCAGAAAGCAGACUCCAGCCGUAAAAAACAUGGCAUUUCGCUGAUAGUAUGUCAUUUCUCUUUUACAGUGCAAUUUCACCGAACAUUUGGAACGUGAGUGUGGAAAUGAGAUAGAGUUUGAGUCUGAGGGUGAGAAAUAAGAGGGGGUAGACAACCCUUUAUAUAGUCAAAAAAAUUACACGUUUUAUAUGGGCUGACACGUUAGGCACGUUAGACAAAAAUAAGUCCAAAAAAUUAAAAUGAGGAAAAUGCCAUCAUGUGGGAUAAAUCUUGAGUUUUAUUAGUGACCGCCUCAUUAAAAUCUUUCAUCCCUAGAAAGUGAAAGAGUACAAAACCACUCUCUAGACUACAAAAGAAAAAGAAAGUUACAAAAACAUAAGAAAAUUACAAAGGAAAAAAAAUACAAAGACUACAACUGCUCUACGUCUUCUUCGUCUUGAGUGUAAAUUCUUCGAACGUGACCAUUAGUUCGUUGUUUUCGACAGUGUGUUGGCCUCUUCUUCUGGCUAGUUCUUCGUCUUUCACGGUCAUGAGUGUUCUCACCAUAUCCGGGGUGAGACUCAGGCCCGGUCCUGGGGGUGUGCAACCUGUGCCCCCGCAGAGGGCCCCCAGGUUUUAGGGGCCUCAAAAUUUUUAUGCAUUAGUAUUAGUACUAGGCAUUAUUACUUCAUUAACGAUAAGAUGAUGGUCCUUCUGUUCUCUAGUCGGCGGCUGGGCCUCCUAGCGCACAGGUCCUGAUCGCGAUCCCCUUCUCCCCGCUUCCCACGCCUCGGCUGCGUCCUAGUGAUCAAGAUUCACUCAGAAAAAACAAAUUAGGGAUCGAAGCGUCCCUUCUCUCCCUUCGUGCGACUGUUAGCCUUCUCCUUCGUUUCCUCGUGUGCGUGCGGCGGCAGCUUGGGCCAGUGACGCAGCGUGAUAAUCUUGAUUCUUGAGGUUGCUAAAGAAGGCAACGAGUGGCCGGUAGGAACGACACCUGGCACCCUGCAGGAAGGCAUGCAAGUUCGCACCAUCUUCGAUUUAUCAAGCGGUAUUGUUUCGACAACCGGUGAAUCCUUGAGCCCUUCACCUUCAUUGUGAGUUCUAAUUUCGAUCAUGUAUGUAGUUUUGCUGAUACUUUGUAGCUAAUUUUAUUAUUUCAUCAAUUAGGCGUCUAGCAUUACAAGAUCUGAGUCAUGUCUUCACUUGGAAAAAACAUGAAUCUGGUUACCAAAAGCGUUUGAAGAAACAAAUCGAGGAAUUAACUCAGUCUCAGUUUGAAGUUAUGGAUAAGUUUGUUAUAAAAAAACACAAGUGUCCUCCGAUUUUCAAUCACUUGAUCAAUAGCAUGCUGGUGAUAAUAAUGUUGAAAAUGAUACUAGCCCUAGAGAUAGCCAGAUAGAGACAUAGAAUUGAUUAUGAGGAUAUUAUUGAAGAUUUUAUUUCAAGCAACACUAAAAGAAUGAUGUUAUUUAAGUGAAGACUUUACAACCAAUAAUAGGUACGAUUCUUGAUGUUUCCCAUUACUAUGUAAGAUAUUAUGAUCUGCAUAUUAUUAUAGUUAUAUUUAUAUAGUUUUUUAAGUGAGGUAGGGCCCAUUUUAUAGUUUUGCACAAGGCCUCAGAUUUUGUCAGCCCGGCCCUAGUGAAACUCAUCCUUCUUUCCUCAAGUAUUCUUCCAGUUAGACUAAAAGGAGACUCUCAUAAUGUAGAUGAGACGGGUACUGAUAACACAACCCGUGCUAAUAUGGAAAGCAUCGGAUAUGUAACCUUGUGUUCAUGACACCACCGAAUUAUGUCAAAGUUGUCCUCCUCAUUUUCAUAAGUUGACUUUGUCGCUGUUGAGAUACUUCGCUAACUCCCCACCACCUAAAAGCACAGUCGAUGGUUCUGAUGUGGAAAAGCUCGGGGCAGAGGUGGAAGAACCAAAUAACUUGCUCCAUGCUCCUUUCUUUUUUUCCCGUUGGUGCUGGUGGAGGCCACUGCAUGCGAGCUCCGACAUACUUUUGAUCAUACUUCGCAUAAACAUAAGAAAGCUUAUCACGAACCUCAAUGGAAUAAGCGAUAUAAUCUAUCCCUAGGGCCCCAGCUAGUACAACGAGUGCACUAGCAAACAAUUCAAGUUUAACCCUAGGAUCCAAGAUAAAUGCAAAUGCAUACAAAAUAGGAAUCUUCGCCCAGUAUUUGCAAUAUUUAAGUUUCAUGCGAGAACCAUAGAAAUUAAUAAUACAUUAUUUUCAAAUGCCUUCAAGUGAGAUGUAACGUCUACAAGAGUGUGCAUCAUCAAAGGAGAUGUGGGAUAAUAAACCCCAGAGAAAGAAAUUGUUGCAUCAUAAAAUAUCUCUGAAAACUUGACCAAAGCUUUAGCAACAUUCCAAGUAUCAGCAGUGAUAUGUUCUUUUCCCAUAUUUGCAUUAAUCCAUCCCGAGAACACAAUUUUGUCUCGGAUAACUGCCUUAAGCAUCAUAUAUGUAGAGUUCCAUCUAACAAGUGUAAGGGCAUAUUUAUCCCCAAGAUGUUUUGGUGAUUGAUGACAAUGCUUGUGCGGACUAAUCGUGUGCGUUAAGUUCUUUCAGAGAUUCAUCCAUUGGUACGAGACGAUUACCUCCCCUCGGUGUUUUAUUCAAGACGGUGUAGCUCCUUCGUUUCGUUGUUGGUGGACUAGUUUCGUAGGAGUCACCAUACUAUCAAGAGGGGAUCCGUUUUGGUAAGGCUAGGGUGGAAUCAACAUGUACACAUCCUUAUCACACCCGACGUUUUCCUUCCGCUUCAUUGGAGCUGCCUUUUCCCCUGUGUAUGCUUUGUCCUACCCCAGCGGUAGUACCGCGGUCCACAGCGGUAGUACCGCGGUCCACAGCGGUAGUACCGCCGAAGCACCCUAGCGGUAGUACCGCUCCCCAAGCGGUAGUACCGCUCUCCGAGCGGUAGUACCGCUUGUGGUCUUCGGCCGUAGUACCGCAGUGGUUCCGGGCUACUGCUGCCUCGAUUCGAGACCGAUGUUUUUCGUGUCGGGUUUUAGUGGCGGUAGUACCGCUCCAAGCGGUAGUACCGCGUCUACUCCCACGGUAGUACCGCUCUGGGGCCAGGACCCUGACCUCCCCGUCAGCGUGGCAGUACCGUUGGGUAAGAGCGGUAGUACCGCCCUCAGCGGUAGUACCGCCCUGCCCAAGCGGUAGUACCGCUCUGUGCGGGGCUGUUCAGUGGGGUAACGGUUGGAUUGGUUCCCCCACUAUAUAAAGGUGUCUUCUUCCCCAAAGUUGACUUACCUCUUUCCCCCAAAGCUCCAUUGUUGCUCCAAGCUCCAUUUUCACCCGAUCUCUCUCCCUAGCCAAUCAAACUUGUUGAUUUGUUCGGAUUGGUUGAGAAGGCCCCGAUCUACACUUCCACCAAGAGAAAUUUGAUUCCCCCACUUAUCCCUAGCAGAUCUUGAUACUCUUGGGUGUUGAUCACCCUAGACGGUUGAGGUCACCUCGAAGCCAUACUCCAUUGUGGUGAAGCUUCGUGGUGUUGUUGGGAGCCUCCAAGUGUUGUGGAGAUAGCCCCAAUCUUGUUUGUAAAGGUUCGGUCGCCGCCUUCAAGGGCACCAAUAGUGGAAUCACGGCAUCUCGCAUUGUGUGAGGGCGUGAGGAGAUUACGGUGGCCCUAGUGGCUUUUUGGGGAGCAUUGUGCCUCCACACCGCUCUAACAGAGAUGUACUUCCCUUUAAAAGGAAGGAACUUCGGUAACACAUCCUCGUCUUCACCGGCUCCACUCUUGGUUAUCUUGUGCCUUUACUUUUGCAAGCUUACUUGUGUUGGAUCUAUUACUUGCUUGUGUGCUAGUUGUAUUUGCAUCAUAUAGGUUGUCCACAUAGUUGCACAUCUAGACAACCUAUUUCGUUGCAAGGUUUAAAUUGUUAAAGAAAAGUCUAAAAAUUGUUAGUUGCCUAUUCACCCCCCUCUAGUCAACCAUAUCGAUCCUUUCAAUUGGUAUCAGAGCCUCAUCUCUUUAUUAAGGACUUUGCCGUCCGAAGAGUAUGGUUGACAUCAACAACGAUGUGGAGGAGCACUCCGGUGUGAAUCCCAUCUCGUCUUCGGCCGAAGGGGGAACCUCGGUCUCAUGUGAGGAAUUCAAUGUGGCUUUAGACACAUUGAAAACCUCCAUGACUGCCGAGGUUAAAAGCAUGUUUUCUGAAUUCCUAGAAGGACUUAAACUAUCUACCUCGCCUAUGAAAGUGGGUGAUCCCACUAACAAGGUGACGGAUGCUACCUCCAACAAGGGGGAAGCUAACAGUGAAAAAGAGUCCUUCUACUAGUGGUAGAAAUGGCACCGGCAUCUUUGCCCAUGUGGAACCCCCAGUUUAUAGAGGACCGAUCCCCUCUACUCAUUUGAAUCAUGCCGGUCCUCCUCCUAAAUAUGAGAAACAUGAAGAUUUUGAUUCUUGGGUUUAUCGCUUCAAGCGUCAUUUAAAACAUGUGAAUACUAACCUUUGGAGAAUCAUUGAAGAAGGUUUCUAUCCUCAUGACCCAAGCAACUUCACCCCUCGAGAAGACAUGGACAAUCAAUUCAAUGAGAGUGCUCUCUUCAUCAUCCAAGAUGCAAUCCUUCCCGAAGAUCUCCCUCAUCUUCGACCUCAUGUCAUGGCUAAAGAAGCAUGGAAAUAUGUUGAGUCUCUCUAUCGAGGAAGUGCUAGCAUUCAACGCUCCAACUAUGAAGUGGUGCAAGAUGAAGCCGAUGAGUUUGCAAUGAAAGAAGAUGAAGAACCUCGUGAGCUCUUUUGAAGAGUGACCAAACUCGCGGUCGCACUCCGAGAUCAUGGGAGCAAGGACACGGAUGACAAUUGGAUCAAGCGCAAGUUCCUCAAGGCCAUGAUGCCCUACAACAAGGCCAUGUCCUCCGUCAUUCGUCAAAGACCGGACUUCCACUCCAUGACCUCAGGUGAAGUGUUGGAUGAGUUUGUUGCAAUGAGCAUCUUGGACAAGACCGCCGACAAUGCGGUGCUCCGUUCUCAAAGGGCAAAGAAGCCCAAUCUUGCCUUGAAGGCCAAGGUUAGUGUGGAAGAAGAAGAAGAGGAAGAUGAGGAGAGCAACCCCGAAGACACAAAGUAUGAUUAUCAUGAGCACAUGGCUCUUGCCUCAAGACAAUUUUGGAGUAAGAAGAAUACAAGACCCAACUUCAACAAGAACAACUUAAGUGGCCUCAAGGGCAAGCAACGAGUGAGAACUUGUUUCAAAUGUGGCAAUGUGAGCCAUUUCGUUGCGGAUUGUCCUUACGAGAAGCGGGAAGACAAUGGUGGCAAGUUCAUACGAAAAGACAAAGCCAAGUCCUUCCCAAACAAGAACAACUUCACCAAGAAGACUCCUACUCGAGGGUUGGUAGUUCAAGAAGAAUACCAUGAGGAUGACGAUGAUGAUGAAGAUAGUGAAGCAACGGCUAUGGCAUCCGUUGCCAUUGCCACAACUCCCCGGGUGUCUAUCUUCGAUUCACCCAACGAGAACAUCACCGCCAAGUGCCUCAUGGCUAAAGCCACCAACAAGGUAACCCCCAACAUCAAAACCACCAUUAUUCCUAAUCCUCCUUCAACGGAUGGUCUUGAUAAUGUUAAGGGGUCUAAUGAGGAGGUAAAUGAAUUUGAGUCAUUCAUGAGUAAGCUCAAGGGCAAAUCCAAGAAGCACUUUGUUGCUCUCUUGGAACAACUUGGUGAAGCCAAUGCCAUGACCGAGGCUCAUGAAGAAACCAUCUCUAAGAUGGAUGGUCAUAGUCGUGACUAUGCCGAUGAGAUAUCAGAUCUCUCUAAUGCUCUUGAGGAAAAGCGUGGGCAUCGUUUGGCUCUUGAGGAGUCACACAACGAUGACCAUGCCAAACUAAAGAAGGAUCUUGAUCAUGCUCUUGUUGUGUCUCGUGUUCUAACUUCCGAGAAGGCUAAACUUGGGGUUGAUCAUGUUAGACUCAAGGAGGAGUUUGAUGUACUUGACAAGGCCCAUAAGGUCUUGAAAGGUGCUCAUGCAAACCUCAAGGAGUCUCAUGCUCAACUCCAAGUUAAGCGAACCAAGGAAAAGGCCACAUUUCCUCACAUGGUCUUGAUUGAUAAUGCAAAUGCUACUAACCCAUGUUGUGAGCAUGUGCAUCUUGUGGAGGAGAAUGUCAAGUUGAAGGAACAACUCGAGAAAGGUCUUGUGUCAUGCAUACAAGGCGAGAAGAACCUAAAUGACCUUUUGAGCAAUCAAAAGGAAGUUGUGGGCAAGGAGGGAGUUGGGUUCUCACCCAAGUCCAAGAACAAGAAGAAGAACAAGGAGAAGAAUAACCAGACCAAUCGACCUCCCCCGCUCAAGCAAACCUUUGUGAAGGAGGGAGAGGGUGCUCCUAAGGAGAAGAAGAACAAUGCGAAGAGUGGUGAUGCCAAAUAGUGCAAAGCCAUCUCUCCCAACAAAGCCGGCGACUUUAACCCCUCUUAUGUGUUGUGCCGUGCUAGUGAUGGGCAUGUUUAUGCUAAAUUUGUUGGUUCUUCUUAUGAGUACAUUGAAUGGUCUAUUUGGGUUCCUAAGACCCUUGUUACUAACAUCAAAGGACCCAUUACUCAAUGGGUACCUAAAACCAAGCAUUGAUCUCUUGUAGGUGUUUGCUUCCGGUGGGGGAUCAUGGUUGCUUGAUAGUGGAGCAACAAAUCAUAUGACCGGGAGCAAGGACUUGGUGGUGGAAGUGCACAAGAUCCCAUCUAUGCCCACCAAUGUCGAAUGGGGUGAUGCCUCUCAUUCUAAGGUAUUGGGUCUUGGCAAGGUUGUCAUUUCUCAUGAUCUAAUGAUCGAGAAAGUCAUGCUUGUUGAGUCCCUUGCGUUCAAUUUACUUUCCGUUCGUCAACUCGCACUCAUGGGCUUUGCCACCUUCUUUGAUAUUGAUACCAUGGCCCUCUUGUGGAGCAAGACUCUUAAAGUAGCCUUUGUUGGGCAUGUCGAGAAUGGUCUCUAUGUGAUUAACUUUUCGGAGCAACCCACUAAGACCGCGACAUGCCUAAUGGCUAAAGUUGAUGUGGGAUGGCUUUGGCAUCGCUGUUUAGCCCACGUCAAUAUGAGAUCUUUGCAAAGUCUUCUCAAGGGGGACCAUGUCCGUGGACUAACGAAUGUUAGUUUUGCCAAAGAUCGUGCUUGCAGUGCUUGUAUCAAAGGAAAGCUUCAUGAAACGGCUCACCCUCCCACGACUAUCAUCUACUCAAAGAGACCCUUGGAGCUCCUGCACAUGGACCUCUUUGGGCCUCCAUCCUUUGAUAGUCUUGGGGGUAGAAAGUAUUGCUUGGUGAUUGUGGAUGAUUAUUCAAGAUACACUUGGGUAUACUUCUUCAAGAGGAAGAGUGAGACUCAACAAACCGUCAUCGACUUUGCAAAUGAAGCUCAACGUCAACAUAAUGCAAAGAUCUUGACAAUAAGAAGUGACAACGGCACCGAGUUCAAGAACUACACCUUGGAUGAGUUUCUUAGUGAUGAGGGGAUCAAGCACCAAUAUUAUGCACCAUAUACCCCUCAACAAAAUGGUGUUGCAGAGAGGAAGAACCGGACAUUGAUGGAUGCGGCAAGGACCAUGAUGGCGGAGUUCAAGUCUCCAUACAACUUUUGGGCCGAAGCCAUCAACACUGCAUGUCAUGCAUCCAAUCGGCUCUAUCUCCGCAAAGGCUUGAACAAGACUCCGUAUGAGAUACUCACCGGGAACAAGCCCAAUCUCAAGUACUUUCGGGUGUUUGGGUGUAAGUGUUUCAUUCUCAAGAAAGGUGUUCGUUUGUCUAAAUUCGAGGCCAUAGCUUAUGAGGGCAUAUUUGUUGGUUAUGCUACAAACUCUCAUGCUUACCGUGUUCUCAACAAGUCCAACGGACUCAUUGAGGAGACGUGUAACGUGGAGUUUGACAAAAAUAAUGGCUCCCAAGUGGAGCAAAGUAGUACUUGUGAUGUAGGUGAUGAAAUUCCUCCCCAAGCCAUUAGAAGAAUGGGUAUUGGUCAUAUUCUACCCAUUGAGGAACCCCUUGUGGCCGAAGGAGAAGGACAAUGCUCCACUCUAGUGGAGCCUUCACCUACUCAAGACUCACACGCUUUCGAAGAAAAAAGUGUAGGCCCUCAACCUCGGGAACAAGACCAAGGGCAAGAUCAAUCUCAAGAUGGUGGUGAACCUCCAAAUGAUGCCCAAGGUCAAGUUCUCCCCCUCGAGCAAGUUCAAGAUCAUGAGCAAGCUCAAGAUCAAGAACAAGCUCAUGACGACGCUCAAGAUGAUUAAGUGAACCCUCCUCUUCCACAUCCGAGGAGGAAUUAGAGCGUCGUGCAACGAAGAUUGCCUCCAAACUCACCACCAAAGGUCAUCUCAUGGAGAAUGUGGUUGGAAGCCUAAGAAAGGGGGUAAGCACUCGUAGACAAUUAGCAAACUAUUGUGAACAUCACGCGUUUGUCUCUUGUGUUGAACCCCAUAAGGUCUAUGAGGCGCUCAAAGACUCGGAUUGGAUCAAUGCCAUGCAUGAAGAACUCAACAACUUCGAGUACAACAAGGUGUGGAGGUUGGUGCCAAGGCCUUCGGGGAACCAUAACAUCAUUGCAACCAAGUGGAUCUUCAAGAACAAGCAAGAUGCUCAUGGGAACAUCAUUCGCAACAAGGCAAGAUUGGUAGCACAAGGCUACUCCCAAGUCGAGGGUAUCGACUAUGGUGAAACCUUUGCUCCCGUUGCUCGCCUUGAAUCCAUUCGUUUGUUGAUUGCUUAUGCUUCCCAUCACAACUUUAAGUUGCAACAAAUGGAUGUGAAAAGUGCUUUUCUUAAUGGUCCCAUUAAUGAGUUGGUUUAUGUCAAGCAACCCCCCGGGUUCGAGGAUCCUUACUUCCCGGAUCAUGUGUAUCAACUCGAUAAGGCACUCUAUGGCCUUAAACAAGCCCCACGUGCGUGGUAUGACCACCUUACCGAGUUGUUACAAGAUCAUGGAUUUGAAGUUGGGCUAAUCGAUCCCACUCUUUUUACUAAGAAGGUCAAAGGGGAGUUGUUUGUGUGCCAACUAUAUGUUGAUGACAUUAUCUUUGGUUCACCUAACAAAGCUUUCAAUGAAGAAUUUGCCGCUCUCAUGACCUCCAAAUUCAAGAUGUCUUCGAUGGGAGAGUUGAUGUUCUUCCUUGGUUUUGACAUCAAACAAAGAAGAGAAGGAACCUUCAUCAACCAAGCCAAAUACACUCAAGACAUGCUAAAAAGAUUCAAGCUAAGUGAUGUCAAGCCGGCUACUACUCCAAUGCCCACCAAGUGCCAACUUGACAUUGAUCCCAAUGGUAAAGCGGUGGAUCAAAAGGUAUAUCGCUCCAUGAUUGGCUCCUUGCUUUACCUUUGUGCAUCUAGACCGGAUAUCACGUUGAGUGUGGGGAUGUGUGCACGGUUUCAAGCCGCACCGAAGGAAAGUCACUUUGUGGCGGUCAAGCGAAUCUUUCGAUAUUUGGCUCAUACCCCAAACUUUGGCUUAUGGUACCCAAGAGGGGCAAACUUCAAACUUGAAGGAUUUAUGGAUUCCGAUUGGGCGGGAGACAAAGUGGAUAGGAAGUCCACUUCCGGAGGGUGCCAGUUUCUUGGGUGCUCUUUGGUGAGUUGGUCUUCCAAAAAGCAAAGUUGUGUGUCUCUCUCGUCCACCGAAGCGGAAUAUGUGGCGGCCGGUAGUUGUUGUGUACAACUUUUAUGGAUGAGGCAAACUUUAAAGGAGUACGGUGUCAUUUGUGACAAAGUGCCUCUUUGGUGUGACAAUGAAAGUGCCAUCAAGAUUUCUCUCAACCCGGUGCAACACUUCAAGAUGAAGCAUAUUGAGAUCCGGUAUCACUUCAUCCGGGAUCACAUUAGGCGAGGGGAGAUCAAUCUCAAGUAUGUCAACACUCAUGAUAACCUUGCAGAUAUUUUCACGAAGCCCUUGGAUGAAGCAAGAUUUCGCGAGUGAAGGCAUGAGCUAAAUAUCAUUGAUUCGAGCAAUGUGACUUGAACCCUUUCUCACCCCACCUCACUCAACUUGGUGUCUAGUUUAGAUGUAGGAAUGGACAGAGUGUUGUUCUCUCAAUGAACUCUCCCUCCCCCCAUUAUGCAUAAAAUGAUCAACUCUUUCACAUUAGCCAUUUUUGAUGGUACUUGUGCUUCAAAGACGAGUUUUGGUCAUGGGCCCAAGGAUAAUUCUUCGCGGUGCCAUACCAAUUGACUCAAACAUAGGUGGCUCCGGCCAGCGCCCUCUCUUGAGAGAGGCUAGAGCUCGCUCUGGUUCGUGUGGUUGUUUUGAAAGAGUGGGUUCUGGACCGUUGUUAGUGUGUGUGUUGCCUUGUUGGUCUUUUCUUUCUCUUGGCCUUGCUUUCUCGUCUCUUUGGUGCUUUUGCCGCUUGUCUAGAAGCCGUUUGGUUGCUGAGCGGUACUACCACUGGUGGCGAGCGGUACUACCGCUCCGAGCGGUACUACCGCCCUCCAGCGCUGUACUACCGCUGUGAGGCGCGGGCAGGGGGUUAUAUCGGGGGCAGGGGGAGUUUCUUAUCCCCCAUACCCAUUCGCACGCCCCCUUUCUCUGUUCCUCUCUCUUCAGCAACCGGCGCCGCGGGAGGGCUCCGGCAGAUCUCCCUCUCCGGGGCGUUCCUCUCCAUUUCCUUCGGUGGAGACGAUCCCCACCUUGUCCUCUUGCCAUGGAUACCGGUAUUGCCCCCGCUCCCUAUUUCUUCUUGUCUAGAUUUCCAAUCUAGCAUCUUAGGGGCAAUAACAGUUGCCUCUCUAGAUUUUUGGCUAGAUCUAGGCUUGAGUAGGAUGGAGAAUGCUUCCAAACAGUUUGGUUUGGUGUUUGGUUGGAGUAUUUUUGAAUUUGGUAGGACGGUAGUGCCGGAUCUGACCACGGCAGUAGGAAACUGCUGUUUCCCGUCUCGAGCGGUACCACCACUCUCUCCAGAGCGGUACUACCGCUUGGAGCGGUACUACCGCUCGCGGGUCGCGGUACUACCGCCCUCUACCGGUUUCCACCAUGCUCUUUACCUCUCAGUGAUCUUUUGCUCGUGUUUUGUGGCUUAUGCUCGUUCUUUCUGGUUGUUUGCGUGUUAUUGUGUGUGGUUCCAGGUGAUGAGGUUCCUGAGCAUCAGGCUCAUCGUGUCAACCCCGGUCGUGCCACGUCCAAGCGCUAUCGCACCACUGAGUCUGCCGGAGGUUCUUCAAGUGCUCCACCUCCACCUCAACUCCAGAAGAAGCCUGGGGUCAAGCCAAAGCCAGGAAAAACCGUGCCAGAAAUGCCGCCCAAGGAGUUCUGGGCAAGGCGUCGCCGCAACCCGUAUGAGUCUGACCAAGAUCCCACUUUGGUCAAUCGUCCGUUCUGGAACAGGUACCAGUUUGCAAUCUUCUUUGAUGUUCUCAAAGCCAAGAAGAACCUCUUUGUCAACGUGCACUCCAUCGACACCGACCAUAUGGAGAAGGAUCCUGAAUACUUUGGUGAAACUCUUCAGAUGUGCACUCAACUGAACAUUCUUGGGAUCAUGCAAUUCAACAAAGAUUAUGAUGCUGAUAUUGUGGCCCAAUUCUAUGCCACGGUACAUCUCGGGACUGAUGAGGAUAGGACACUUGAAAGGAUCGAGAUGGACCUAGAGGGGGGGGGGUGAAUAGGUACAAUUACAAAUUCUAAUUAUUACUUGGCAAUUUUUAGGCAAUAAUGCGGAAUAUGAAGAUGAGCCUAACAAUUUCAUGUGAGCACAAAGUACUAAGAAAAUAACACAAACACGUAAGUAGGCAAGCACAAUAUAAUGUACGCAAGUGUAAAGAGACAAGUAACCACAAGUAGAGAGUUAAGGUUAGGAAUAACCGCAACUCCGGGAGACGAGGAUGUAAGCCGAUGUUCACUCCCUUGGAGGGGAGCUAGUCACCGUUAGAGGGAUGGAUGUUACCACGGAGGCACACCAACGCCACGAAGGCUCACCCUAUUCUCCCUUUGAGACAACACCACGGAGGCGUUUCUCAACCACUAGUGGUAGACCUUGGGGUACUCUCCAAACCCUCACAAACUUUUCCGAGGGUAAUCACAAAGUUCGAUUCCUCUCCGGAUGACUCCUACCGCCUAGGAGUCUCCAACCUCCAAGAGUAACAAGAACGAUGGGGAAAUGCUCAAAACUUGCUCAAGUCACGAAUUCCUUUGGUGCAAAGAAGGAGAAGAAGUGGAUCUAUCACUUGAUUGGAGAACUUCUCUCAAAAUGCUCCUAGAACACUUGGAAUCUAGGAUUUAGUGUGGAUGAAUGAGAGAGAGAGUGAGGAGUGUUCUUAUGAGGCUCAAAGUGAAUGGUCAACCCAAUCCCAUGGAAGGGAAGGGUGUAUAUAUAGGUGGUGGGAAAAAAUGGCCGUUUGGGGUACAGGAUGGCCGGAUGUCCGGAGAACGUCGGACGUCUGGAGGCCCAAAUGGGUCCGGACGUUCGACAGUCAUCGGACGACCGGCCGCUGUGAAAAGUGUGACCCACAAUCCAGUGUACAGGAUACGGACGUCCGAGCGGGGCCGGACAUCCGUAAGAAUGCUUCUGAUGUGAAAGUGUCGGACGUCCGGAGGGUUCCGGACAUCCGUAAAAAUGUUUCUGUUGUGGAAGUGUCGGACGUCCGGAAGUGUCCGGACGUCCGGGCAAUCAGGAAGGACCGGACGUCCGUAGAACACCGGACGUCCGAAGGCAAGGUAUAUAGAUAGCAACUUUUGAGCAAGUUUUUCACAGAUCCAUCGAUCCCCUCUUAAUAGUGCGGGAUCCCUAUAAUCAAGAACAAACCAUAAAUGAAGUCAACAUCUUGUAUCUCCAUUCUUGAGUUAUAUGCUUUUGUCCCUAGUCAUGAUCCAUGCACACGGUCUUUGGAACAUAAUCCUGAGAUAUACUUGAUAAACAUGAUUAGUCCCGAGCAUAUGUGUUGUCAUCAACAUCAAAAUAUGAUUAAGGGCAUGAUUGCACUUUCAAUCUCCCCCUUUUUGGUAGUUGAUGACAACUCAUAUGCAUACUCAUAAUAGUAAUCGGAAGUAUUUGUUGUGGAGCUCAAUAUCCAUAAUAAGAAUAAGUAGCGAGUGAGCUCCGCCUCAAAGUGAUACCACAGAUACUACUAAAAACAAAAAUGAUGAGGGCUCCCCCUCAAACUGAUGCCAAGAUAAUCAAGAGUUACACUUCAUAUAGAUUCACCAAAUCUCAUAUUCAACAAACUCAUAACCAACAAACUCAUAACAUAGUUCAACAACUCAUAACAAGGUUCAACAAACUACUGAUAACAUAGAUUCGAUUACAUAAUGACCUAGAGUAAUGCAUAUGGAGCCUACUCCCCCGUUGGCAUCAAGUAUCCAAAGAAAAGAACUAGGGGGGAAUGACAUAACAGUAUUAAAGAUCAUCCUCAUCAUCAUCAUCAUGAACACCACUGCCACCAACCUCAUCGAAGAAAUCAGCCCACUCAGGACCGGAGGGAAAACCAAAAUCAGAAGGGGGAUCUGCAGGAAGACGCUCAUCGUCACUCACAUCAUAUACGCCUGAGUCUCUCAGACGAGCCUUCAGAGCAUUCUUGGAAGUGACCAUGCGAGUGACCACAUCAUGGUGUUGGGAGCAAUGGUAGGUGAACAUCUUCAUCAUGACUGAAUGAGCCUUCCCAAGAAAACAAGCAAUGCGCCCAAAGGGGGCAUCACUGGAAGGAGGAUGGGUAGCAUGAGAAGGAAAACUAGCGGCGGUGCGACUAGCAGUAGCGGGAGGAGGAGGAACAUGGUCAGCCGCCAUGUGAGGUGGGAUGACCCAUCUCUCAUGUAUAUGAGUGCGUGCAAUGGGAAAGGGAGCUACACUCUCGAUAAAUGCCUGAAUAAAAGGUGCAUGAGGGAAAGCCCGCUUGUGCUGGAAGCUAGCAAGGCAGAUCUCAUGCCAUAGAAAGUGUGGAACAUUUAUCUUCCCUUUAGGAGAUGUGAAGAGGCGAUGCAUGAGAUCAAUGCAGUAGCUGCUGUGGGAGCCCUGGUCACCCAUCUUGGGAUAAAUGGUGCGGAUGACACCCUGAUAAAUGAUGUUGAAUGGAAAACGCCAAAUGGAGACUUGAUUUAGACCCUUUUGGUUUUCAGUGCUAGACAAAGAUGAUAUGGGUCUAAGGAGAUCCGCACAGACCGUAAUGCCUUUGGGCUUAUGGUUGGGGUCAUCCUUGUGGAUUUUGAACCCAGUGUCAGGAAAUCCAAGUGCGGUGACAAACUUAGCAUAAGAUGCUGUGAGUGCAGUGUUGGAGGUCAUCCAUGUGACAGUGUUAUCAGGAGCAAAGUAACAUGUGGCAUAAAACUGAUGGAUGGCAGCAUGGUUAAAAUCGUGUUGAAAGGCGAAUGGGGUAGCUAGAUUUGACGACUCAAUGAGCUCAAUGGCUCCCAGAUAUUUCUCCGGAUGAGUGCAAAUGUGCUCAAGAUCAAUGCAAACAUGAAGUGACAAGCCUUUAGGGAUGACAAUCGUGGUGAAGAUGUCGGCUUGGACAUUUGUGCGAAAGCGACUAUCCUGAGAAUCCCUAACAACAGUAAAUUGAUCUACAUCACGAUGCAAUUUAAGAUAUGAAGAUUUGGGGACCUCGUUGAAACGCUUAACAUGACGGCCUAGUGACAGUGGAGGCUCAAUGGGGAUGUGACGGGCAUCACCGUGGGGUUGCACCGGAUUAGGAGGAGGUUGAAUGGUUGGACGCCGAGUGCCGGGCUUGGGUGCAGCGACGCGGACGCCAAUCAUCGGGGACAGAUCCACCUCUUCAAGCUCAUCCUCAAAAUCUGACCCCUCCGAAGAGGAAUCACUGGACGAGCUGGGAGGACGAGCGACACUUUUCCGAGGGCGAUCUUCCUCCUGGAGUCGUCGGAGCCACCACGACUAGACGGACGAGCUGGCCCUCCGGCGACUUGCUUGAGUGCGGAGUGCUUGGACCGAGGCAUCAUGACCUAGGGGAGAAGGAAAGCACAUGUCAACACCCCACAUCAGGGUGAAUGCAUGAGGAGGGGGGAGGGAAGGUUGUGCCCUGCCUUGCGAGGAAGAGCACGGAGGAGCCGAGCGACGUGCUAGAGCAGAGGGUCGACGGAUUGGCCGGGGAGAGAAACUCCGAGAAGAACGGGCUGGACGGGCCGGACGGCGAGUCGCAGAUCCGCGGCGGGGAGAAACCCCGGCGAGGGGUACGGCGGCGGGCGGCUGCGGGGAGUGGACGCACGGCAGGAGCGGCGGCGGCGGCGGGCCAAGUGGAGAGGAUGUGGUUGGUUGACCAAACCCUACGGUGCAGUAUAUAUAGACCCCAGUAAAAACGUACAGACGUCCAGAGCCUACGGACGUCCGGAGCCUACGGACGACCAGAGUCAUAUAUGCGUCCGGACAUCCGGGAACGGACGGACGACCGGAGUCUGGACCAUCAGCAAAUAGAGGAUGACAGAGAUGAUUCUACGGACGUCCGACGGCUUCGGACGACCGGGCAGAUUGUAACAGAAAGGUUUUUACGGACGUCCGGAGUCUUCCAGAUGUCCGGAGCUUCAUCGUCUAGGCCAACUUAAGGGAACCAGAGUGGAUUUUACGGACGUCCGGAGAGGACGGACGACCGGUCGAAGGUAAUCAGAGCAGAAUAUACGGACGUCCGGAUGCUUACGGACGUCCGGCAGUGAAAUACCACACGGACGUCAGGAACCUACGGACAUCCGACGCCAGAAGUUUGGACAGGAGGCAAGAAUGCAGGUGCUGAUCAUGAUGAGGAGAAAGGCAUUUUUUCAUUCAUUUUUUUUCACAGUAAAACUUAUUUAUGUAGUAACUCAUAUCCUACCUUACUCAAUCAUAGCCAUAGACUACAAGUGGUGGCUAAUGCCACAAUGUCUGAGUAGACAUGACAUGACACAGAAAGACUUGAACUUUAAGUGCAUAGUCACUACUCCAUCAUGUUAAAGCACCAUAGGUCUAGACUCAUGGAUACUUUGAGAGUGUUGGUUCUUUUUAUGCAUUGAGUAGGGCGAGAACAUUCAUGAAUUGAAUGUCUCCCCCUAAGUAUAUGCCUACAUCAUGACAAGACAUUAGAUUCAUGCAUGACUGGGUACUAGAUUUCACAUAAUGUUGUCAAGCUCCAAGAUACCAAGUUCACGCCUAAGUCGACAUAACCUUGCUUCAUCUAGAGGUUUGGUGAAGAUAUCUGCUAGUUGAAAAUCUGUACCAAUGUGAUCAAUGUGAAUAUCACCCUUUUCAACAUGAUCUCUCAAGAAAUGAUACCUAAUAUAAAUGUGUUUGGUGCGGAGAUGAUCUUUGGGGUUCUCAGCAAUAUUGACGGCACUUUCAUUAUCACACAGAAGAGGCACAUUUCUAUAGGUGAUACCGUAAUCCUUCAAAGUUUGCCUCAUCCAUAACAACUGAGUUGCACAACUAGCGGCAGCAAUGUAUUCAGCUUCUACGGUAGAGAGAGCAAUACAAUUUUGUUUCUUCUAGGACCAACUCACCAAGGACCGUCAAAGAAACUGACAUGCACUGGAUGUGGACUUGCGAUCCACUUUGUCUCCAGCCCAAUCCGCAUCCGUGUACCCAAUGAGAUCAAACUUAGCAUCCUUGGGGUACCAGAGGCCCAACUUUGGGGUGUGAACAAGGUAUCUAAGAAUAUGCUUAACCGCCUUAUGAUGACUUUCCUUAGGGAAAGCUUGAAAUCUAGCACACAUGCAUACACUGAACAUGAUGUCUGGUCUAGAUGCACAAAGAUAAAGCAAUGAACCAAUCAUAGAGCGGUAAGUAGAUGGGUCGAAAGGAGUACCAUUUGUGUCUUCAGUGAGAGUGAUUUUGGUUGGCAUGGGUGUCUUGCAUGGACUAGCGUCAAACAUACCAAACUUUUCUAGAAUAUCCUUGAGGUACUUUGCUUGAGAUAAGAAAAUUCCUUCUUGAAAUUGUUGAAUUUGAAAUCCGAGAAAGAACUUCAAAUCCGUAUUGAGUGACAUUUCAAAAUUCUUGGUCAUUGAAUCCGCAAACUUCUUGCAGAAAUGAAUGUUAGGAGAACCAAAAAUGAUGUCAUCUACAUAGAUUUGGCAUAGAAUCAAAUCACCCUUGUCCCUCUUAGUAAAAAGAGUGGGAUCGAUCACCCCUCUCACAAAACCAUCAUCGAGUAAAAACUUCUUCAAAUGAUCAUACCAAGCACGAGGUGCUUGUUUGAGGUCAUACAAAGCCUUAUGAAGUUUAUACACAUAGUCUUUGUGAAAGGGGUCAUCGAACCCGGGUGGUUGUGACACAUAUACUUCCUCUUGUAGAGGACCGUUAAGGAAAGCACUCUUCACAUCCAUUUGAUGUAAUGUAAAACCAUUGAAAGCGGCAUAAGCAAGUAAAAUGCGAAUGGAUUCAAGACGGGCAACGGGGGCAAAGGUCUCACCAAAGUCCAAACCUUCAACUUGUGAGUACCCUUGUGCCACUAACCUUGCCUUGUUUCGGAUGAUGACACCAUUUUCAUCUUGCUUGUUCUUGAAAAUCCAUUUUGUUCCAAUGACGUUGUGCUCGUUGGACGGCCUCUUGACUAGUGACCACACUUGGCUGCGUUCAAAAAUGUUCAACUCUUCUUGCAUAGCAACAAGCCAAUCGUUGUCCAUCAAUGCCUCUUGUACCUUGAGUGGUUCAAUACUAGACACAAACGAGAAGUGAGCACAAAAGUUUGUCAAAUGUUUACGAGUGACUCUACCUUCCGAGAUGUCGGUGAGGAUUUUUUCAACAUCAACAUGACCAGCCACUCGAGGCAUGAUGGAGGUGAGGGUUUCACGAGGUUCAACUUCAUGUCCAUCAUCCACAUCUUCAACAUAUGGAUCAUUCACGUGUGGAGGAAGAUCUUCUUGUUCAUGUUGCAUUUGUUGAGGUUCGUCAUCCAUGAUUGGACUUUCUUGUUCUUUCUCUUGAUGAUGAUCUUGUUCUUGAUGGUUAUCAUUAAGUGAGACUUGAUCAACCUCAUCUACUUGGGCUAAGGGUAUAGGUUGAACAAUAGGAACUUGUGUUGGUAUGGAUGUUGAAGUAGUUUGAUGAUGCGUGAGACCUCCAUCUUCUUCUUCAUCAUCAUGAGGUUCUUGUUCCAUAGGAAGAAGUGCACCAACACCCAUGUUCAAAAUGUCUUGAGAAGAAUCUUCUUCACCUACAUCACUUAGAUCAACUUGCUCCCCAUGGGAGCCAUUAAAUUCAUCAAACACCACGUCACAAGUUUCUACAACACAUCCAUUGGAUUUGUUGUAGACUCUAUAGGCGUGAGAGUUUGAUCCAUAACCAACAAAUAUACCCUCAAUUGUUUUGGAUUGAAAUUUUCCUAACCGUUCUCUUUUGUUGAGAAUGAAACAUUUGCACCCAAAUACACGAAAGUACUUGACAUUUGGCUUGUUUUCAGUUAGAAGCUCAUAUGGAGUCUUUUCCAAUAUAGUGCGGAGGAAGAGUCGGUUUGACGCAUGGCAUGCGGUAUUGACAGCUUCAACCCAAAAACUAUGUGGUGACUUGUAUUCAUCCAACAUGGACCUUGCAAUUCUACAAGUGUACGGUUCUUCCGUUCGGCUACACCAUUUUGCUGAGGAGUAUAUGGAGCUGAAUAUUGAUGCUGAAUCCCUUCAUCACUAAGAAAUUCUUCCAAGGUAUAGUUCUUGAACUCAGAGCCAUUGUCACUCCUUAUUGCUCGGAUUUCUCUGUCAAACUUGCGUUGGGCUUGCUUGGCAAAAUCAAUGAAGGUGAUCUUCAUUUCGUCCUUGGACUUGAGGAAGAACACCCAUGUAUAUCUUGAGUAAUCAUCAAGAAUGACAAGCCCAUACUUUUUCCCACCAAGACUAUCCCAUGAAGGAGGCCCAAAAAGAUCCACAUGAAGGAGCUCCAGGGGACUUGAAGUAGAUACUAUGUUCUUGGGUGGGUGCUUUGAUUGAUGUUGCUUCCCGGCUAUGCAUGCACUACACACACGAUCUUUCUCAAAAGAGACAUUGGUUAGUCCAAGGAUGUGAUUUCCCUUUAAGAGAUCUUGAAGAUUUCUCAUGCCGACAUGGGCUAGCCGGCGAUGCCAUAGCCACCCCUUGUCAGCCUUGGCCAUUAGACAAGUUGCAUGGAAUGUGCUCUCUUUUGAGAAAUCAACCGUGUAAAGGUUGCCAUCCAACUCUCCAACAAAUGACACUUCGAGAGUAUCUCUCUUAAAGACUUUCACAUCCGUUAGUCCAAAGAGUGUAUCAUAACCAACAGAAGCCAAUUGGCGAACAGAAAGCAAGUGAUAUUUAAGGGAUUGGACAAGCAUAACAUUUGCAAGAGACAUGUCAUUGGUGAUAGCCACCUUGCCCAACCCGAGUACCUGUCCUUUUGAACCUCCACCAAACAUAAUGCUCAUGAAUGGUUGAAUAGCUUCCAUGAAAUCGUAGAGCAAUUUGCUAUCUCCGGUCAUAUGAUUUGUACAUCCACUAUCAAUCACCCAUUUCACUCCACCGGAGAAGCUUACCUACACACAAUUAGGACUUGGUUAGAGGCACCCAUUUUGCAAUGGGACCUCUCAAGUUAGUUACAAGGGUCUUAGGGACCCAAAUAGCAUAAAAACGGAAUGCAUUUCGAGGACCAACAAAUUUUGCAAAGACUUCUCCAUCCUUAGUCUUCCGAAGUACAUAGGAAGGAGGCAUGAACUCUUUAGGCUUGUUGAGAGUGGGCAUGCCCCUUGUGGCCUUCCCACUCACAACCUUACCUUUCUCCUUGUGCCCUUCUCUUACAAAAGUUUCGUUUAGAGGAGUUGUGCACUUUUGGGAGGACGUCUUCUUCUUACUUGUGCUAGGGUCAAACCCAAGUCCCUCUUUGGCAAACACCUCAUUGUGUAGACUCAAAAUCUCAUCAAGAUUCUUUUGCCCUUGAGCACAUGUCAUGAGACCUUUCUCAAUUUGAGCCUUGAGAAAACGAUUUUCCUCAAGAAUAGAUGCUAGAUCACUACUAGAGUUAGUAGCACAAGCAUCAACAUUUAUAAUAGGCGAAGAGUAAGCCUUGGCUAGAGUUUCAAGUAAGUUUGAGCAUCUCAAAACUCUUUCUAAGAACGGUGAGCUCUCCUUCCUUCGUCUUGAGGUACACGGAUAGAAGCUCACAAUCCUUAGAUAGAGAAGCACGAGACUUCACAAGCUUGCUUUUAUCAUUCAUUAACUCUUCACAAGAGUCAAUAGCCUUUUUCAAGGAGGCAAGAUCAUUAGUGUGAACAUCAAUGUUUGCACCAAUUUUUAAGCAUAGUUCAUCAUUUCGUGCUUCCUCAUAUUGGAAUUUCCGCUCAAGGAUUUCACACUUUUCCUUUUCCUCAGUGACGAGGGUUUCGAGUUCCUUAAUGGUGAUGGUGUGCUUACUCACCAUCUCCAUAAGAAUACGAAACAUAGUGAGUUUCUUUCCUUUGAGGGAGCACAUGAACUUAUUAAGUUUAGCAAUCAUAGGAUCAUCUAGAUCAUCAUCCUCAUAGCUAUCCUCCGCAUCAAGGUACUCAUCACUAGGAGUAGAAGGUGUGAAAAGAGGAGGAUUUGAUCGUGGAGUUACCUUGACCUUGUCAGAAGAGCUUUGGUCCUCUCCUUCCUCAACCAUGGCCUUUGCCAUUAGGCACUUGUGAGCGUUGCCCUUGUAAUCUUUCAUGUAGUUGUAGGUGACCACGUCACCACUCUUGUUUACUAACCUCAACGUGUUUUGAGAGUCUUGAUCAACUCCGGCAACACCACUAACAUCAUCCGGAUCAGAUUCUUCUUGAGCAACCAUUGCCAUUCCAUCUCUCUUCUUGAGCUUGGAUUUUAAAGGAUUUGGCAACUUCUUCUUGGGAAAGGUCUUGGGAAACCUUGGUUUAUCUUCUCUCUUCUCAUAAGGUCACUCGUUGGAGAAGUGACUGGUUUCUUCACAGUUGUAGCAUUUUCUCACUUUCUUCUUUUGAAAUCUUCCCUUGAAUUUUCCGGCGCUAAACUUCUUGACAAAAAGAGCCAUGUCUUCAUACAAAGGGCCCUCGUCGGAGUCAAUCUCAUUACCAUCUUCAUCCUCAUCAUCUUCUUCUUCUUCUUCACUUUGCUCAUCUUCACAUACUUGCUUGGCCUUCAAUGCAAGAUUGAUUUUUGAUGAUGGGGAACCAUGCAUGGCAAGAUGUUUUGUGGCAUUGGCCUUUGACUCUUCAAAUAGUUGGAAGGUGUAUAUGAUGUCAUCUAUUGUCAUUUCCUUGAAGGUAUGGUGUUGUCUUAUGUCCCACACCAUUUGAUGAUGAUAAGGAGCAAGAGCAUGAAGCAACUUAUCCACAAGAAACCUCUUAGUCAUAUUGAAUCCAUCUUGAGUCUUGUCACACUCACAUGACUCAAUAUCCACAGUGAGAGUCAUGAGACGCUCAAGGAGUUGAUUGGGGGUUUCACCUUUUUCCAUACAAAAUUUUUGCAAUUGCCCCUUGGCAAUUUCAUAUUGAGCACUCCGGAGGGUAGAAGUGCCAGUCCUGGAUCGUAUAAUACUUUCCCAUAGUUCCUUGGCACUUUUGAUGUGUAUGAACGGUCUCCUUUGCUUUUCAUCCAUACCUCUCCUUAUACACAUGAUUGCCGUGUCAUUGAGGUUCUUAUCAUAUAUUUCUCUUGGUGUGGGGUUCUUUGGAUCAACCACAUGAUAGCCAUACUCUAUAAUCUCCAGCAUCUCAUCGUUUCCAUGUCGAAGAUGAUCCUGCAUAGCAACUUUCCACAAUGCAAAAUCAGUAGUAGCAGUAAGUAAAGGAGGUUUGCCUUGAGGGUUAUAUCUUGGUUUCUCAACCUGAGGUCUUGCAUAAAGCCAAGGAACCUGGUGUGUUCAUUGCUAGGAGGUUGUUGACCAAGUGAUGAAGUAGGCACAGUUGGGCUCAGACUCACACCACUUGAGUGUGGUGCAAGCACCGCGGACAACGUGGCUAAUCUCAAUUGGACCAAGGCCUCAAGAGAAGCAUCAUGCUCCUCUUUUUGCUUAGCAAGGGCCCGUUCUAGAUCCUGAGACGUAAAGGACUUGACUUCAGAAGAAGCCUCGCCUUUAUCCUUAGGAUCUACAACCAGGGGAGUCCCAUCUGGGUUCAUCUCGCUCUAGGGCGGUUAAGCCACAAGAAUAGAGCAUGAGGCUCUGAUACCAAUUGAAAGGAUCAAGAUGGACCUAGAGGGGGGGGGGUGAAUAGGUACAAUUACAAAUUCUAAUUAUUACUUGGCAAUUUUUAGGCAAUAAUGCGGAAUAUGAAGAUGAGCCUAACAAUUGCACCUGAGCACAAAGUACUAAGAAAAUAACACAAACACGUAAGUAGGCAAGCACAAUAUAAUGUACGCAAGUGUAAAGAGACAAGUAACCACAAGUAGAGAGUUAAGGUUAGGAAUAACCGCAACUCCGGGAGACGAGGAUGUAAGCCGAUGUUCACUCCCUUGGAGGGGAGCUAGUCACCGUUAGAGGGAUGGAUGUUACCACGAAGGCACACCAAUGCCACGAAGGCUCACCCUAUUCUCCCUUUGAGACAACACCAUAGAGGCGUUUCUCAACCACUAGUGGUAGACCUUGGGGUGGUCUCCAAACCCUCACAAACUUUUCCGAGGGUAAUCACAAAGUUCGAUUCCUCUCCGGAUGACUCCUACCGCCUAGGAGUCUCCAACCUCCAAGAGUAACAAGAACGAUGGGGAAAUGCUCAAAACUUGCUCAAGUCACGAAUUCCUUUGGUGCAAAGAAGGGGAAGAAGUGGAUCUAUCACUUGAUUGGAGAACUUCUCUCAAAAUGCUCCUAGAACACUUGGAAUCUAGGAUUUAGUGUGGAUGAAUGAGAGAGAGAGUGAGGAGUGUUCUUAUGAGGCUCAAAGUGAAUGGUCAACCCAAUCCCGUGGAAGGGAAGGGUGUAUAUAUAGGUGAUGGGAAAAAAUGGCUGUUUGGGGUACAGGAUGGCCGGACGUCCGGAGAACGUCGGACGUCCGGAGGCCCAAAUGGGUCCGGACGUCCGACAGUCAUCGGACGACCGGCCGCUGUGAAAAGUGUGACCCACAAUCCAGUGUACAGGAUACGGACGUCCGAGCGGGGCCGGACAUCCGUAAGAAUGCUUCUGAUGUGAAAGUGUCGGACGUCCGGAGGGUUCCGGACAUCCAUAAAAAUGUUUCUGUUGUGGAAGUGUCGGACGUCCGGAAGUGUCCGGACAUCCAGGCAAUCAGGAAGGACCGGACGUCCGUAGAACACCGGACGUCCGAAGGCAAGGUAUAUAGAUAGCAACUUUUGAGCAAGCUUUUCACAGAUCCAUCGAUCCCCUCUUAAUAGUGCGGGAUCCCUAUACUCAAGAACAAACCAUAAAUGAAGUCAACAUCUUGUAUCUCCAUUCUUGAGUUAUAUGCUUUUGUCCCUAGUCAUGAUCCAUGCACACGGUCUUUGGAACAUAAUCCUGAGAUAUACUUGAUAAACAUGAUUAGUCCCGAGCAUAUGUGUUGUCAUCAACAUCAAAAUAUGAUUAAGGGCAUGAUUGCACUUUCAACACUGACUUGGAUGACCAAUGGCAAGUUGCUUUCAGUCAAGUGGAAAGCUUUCAUGGAGUUGAUUGGGGUGCAAGAUCUAGGUCUUGAGUCUCCUGUCGUCUUUUGCCCCCACCGCCGCACCACCGCCACUCACUAGCAAGCUCUAUGGCCCUACUGCACUUUGAGGAUCAACCCUGAGACGAAGAAGGAAACUUAUGAGCUGCCUGCCUAUUUGGAUAUCCUUCACCGUAUCUUCAGAGAGACUCUAUUCCCUCGUAUCGGGAAUCUGGAUAUGGUUCACUCCUAUCUCGUGGACAUGCUUCUCUUCUGCCAGCGUGAGAAGGGACAGAACAUCGGAGAGUCCCUGGAUAUCUCUCAUGUUAUGUGGUCUGAGAUGUUAUCUGCUAUCUCCGAGCGCAAGUGCCCGAUUUAUGGUCCGUUCAUCAUGCUGCUUAUUGAGAAGGCCUGGGAUCGUGUCUAUCCCCAGGUGAUUCUGGAGACUGGAGAUUUGGUCUCUCACGACGUCAAGCGUCUGAGGAAGAAGGAUAACUGGGGCACUCAGGCCCCUAAGACUAGAGUUCCUUCGUCUGCUACUGCCAUGGAGACUUAGGAGGAGACUGGGGCUGAGGCUGAGGCUGAGGAUGAUGACUACGUGCCUUCUGAGGCAGAGCCCUCUUGGGCAAAGAAGCUCAAGCUCAAGAUGAAGAAGCUGUUCUGCAUGGAGUAUCACGUUCAGUACAUGACUCAUGUGGCUGAGAAGAAGGCCCAAGGUCGCCACAAGGAGCUCAUGCGUCAGUUGGGUGCUACAGUUAUCAGUGGAUCUGAGGACCAGCUUACCGAGGAGGAGGAGUGGAUUCAACAGCACUGCCCGUGGACCGAUUCUGAUGCCGAGCACUUCCCGACUGACGAUGGUGGCGCAGAUGAUCCCGCUGAGCUCUGAUGUGUGUGUCGCUCUUUUGCUAUCACCUGGAGCCGUAGCAACACUCCCUCUCCUUUUUGGUGUCUCGAUGCCAAAGGGGGAGACAAUUUAGGGAUUUGUGCUUUGUGUCUUCCGUCUUCUGUGUUUGUGUUUUCCUCGCAAUUUGCUUUGUUUGGUUUGUGUCAAUGAGACCUAAGUUCCAGUCAUAUGGUGUGAGACAUAUGCUACCUUAUCUUUCCAGUAUCAUUAUCUAUGUCACUAUCUAGCUUAUGAGUUGCAUGCUUAUCCUGUUAAGUUAUCUAUGCUACUCUCUUAUACCCUGCUUAGGUGGUUGGUCUCUAAAAUGUAGGGGGAGCAUUGAUCCUAGUAUGUGUGCCGUGCAGUCCAAAGCACUCAUCUAGAUAGCACACAUCUAGGGGGAGCUCAUCUACAUUUUAGGACGUGGGGUUUUUGCACUUGUCCUAUAUCUCUCAUGUUGUGCAAAUCCCGUAUUAUCAUCAAUCCACCAAAAAGGGGGAGAUUGUAAGGGCAUAUUUAUCCCCAAGAUGUUUUGGUGAUUGAUGACAAUGCUUGUGCGGACUAAUCGUGUGCGUUAAGUUCUUUCAGAGAUUUAUCCAUUGGCAUGAGACGAUUACCUCCCCUCGGAGUUUUAUUCAAGACGGUGUAGCUCCUUCGUUUCGUUGUUGGUGGACUAGUUUCCUAGGAGUCACCGUACUAUGAAGAGGGGAUCCGUUUUGGUAAGGCUAGGGUGGAAUCAACACGUACACAUCCUUAUCACACCCGACGCUUUCCUUCCGCUUCAUUCGAGCUGCCUUUUCCCCUGUGUAUGCUUUGUCCUGCCCCAGCGGUAGUACCGCGGUCCACAGCGGUAGUACCGCCGAAGCACCCUAGCGGUAGUACCGCUCCCCAAGCGGUAGUGCCGCUCUCCGAGCGGUAGUACCGCUUGUGGUCUUUGGCCGUAGUACUGCAGUGGUUCCGGGCUACUGCCGCCUCGAUUCGAGACCGAUGUUUUUCGUGUCGGGUUUUACGGUACUAAGUACGGUAGUAGUGGUGGUAGUACCGCUCCAAGCGGUAGUACCGCGCCUACUCCCAUGGUAGUACCGCUCUGGGGCCAGGACCCUGACCUCCCCGUCAGCAUGGCAGUACCGCUGGGUAAGAGCGGUAGUACCGCCCUGCCCAAGCGGUAGUACCGCUCUGUGCGGGGCUGUUCAGUGGGGUAACGGUUGGAUUGGUUCCCCCACUAUAUAAAGGUGUCUUCUUCCCCAAAGUUGACUUACCUCUUUCCCCCAAAGCUCCAUUGUUGCUCCAAGCUCCAUUUUCGCCCGAUCUCUCUCCCUAGCCAAUCAAACUUAUUGAUUUGUUCGGGAUUGGUUGAGAAGGCCCCGAUCUACACUUCCCCCAAGAGAAAUUUGAUUCCCCCACUUAUCCCUAGCGGAUCUUGUUACUCUUGGGUGUUGAGCACCCUAGACGGUUGAGGUCACCUCGAAGCCAUACUCCAUUGUGGUGAAGCUUCGUGGUGUUGUUGGGAGCCUCCAAGUGUUGUGGAGAUAGCCCCAAUCUUGUUUGUAAAGGUUCGCUCACCGCCUUCAAGGGCACCAAUAGUGGAAUUACGGCAUCUCGCAUUGUGUGAGGGCGUGAGGAGAUUACGGUGGCCCUAGUGGCUUCUUGGGGAGCAUUGUGCCUCCACACCGCUCUAACGGAGACAUACUUCCCUUUAAAAGGAAGGAACUUCGGUAACACAUCCUCGUCUUCACCGGCUCCACUCUUGGUUAUCUUGUGCCUUUACUUUUGCAAGCUUACUUGUGUUGUAUCUAUUACUUGCUUGUGUGCUAGUUGUAUUUGCAUCAUAUAGGUUGUCCACGUAGUUGCACAUCUAGACAACCUAUUUCGUUGCAAGGUUUAAAUUGUUAAAGAAAAGUCUAAAAAUUGUUAGUUGCCUAUUCACCCCCCUCUAGUCAACCAUAUCGAUCCUUUCAACAAGCAUGUCUAGAUUGUACUUAUGAGGAAUUUGUUCUAUUGCUAUGCAGUAUCUUUUGUAGCUACUAAUUCGCUGAGUAGAGUUACCAAGAAAAGAAAUUGCAAUGCCUAUAAUCUCAACCUCUUUCUUGCAUCUUUUGAUAGCACAUUUAGCAAUGAGAUGAAUCAUAUGACAAGCACAAUGUUGAUUCAGUAAAAAAGAUGAAGCAUAUAUAGAAAACAGAGGACCGAGGCUCUCCUUUGUAGUUGCAUUUGAUGAAGCAUUAUCCAAAGUUACUAUAAAUAUCUUGUCGGUCAGACCAAAUUCUGACACAACAUUAAGUAUAGCCUGAGCUAUGUUUUCACCAGUGUGUGCUUCGUCAAUUAAUUCAAAUCCUAUAAUACUUUUUUGUAGUUCCCAUUUUUUGUUAAUAUAAUGAGCGACCACACUAAUGUAGUCUUGCUUUGCCCGACAACUCCAGAUAUCAGAUGUUAAAGAGACUGAAAAAGUGCAUGUAGUAAAAUCAUCUUUUAUUUUCUGAAGACUAGUUUUGCAUGUCAUAUCCCUACUUGUAGUUUCUCUAGAAACUGAUUUGAAACUAGGAGUAUGAACUUUUUGAAUGUAUUCGGUAAAACCGGGCGAAUCACCAAAACCUAAUGGCAAAUCAUUAGAAGCAAUUAAACGGCAAAUUCCUUCUCUAUGAAGAUCAGGAUCAUAGAUGAAGUUCUGCACCAUACCGUCGGGGUUGAACUUGAGCGUGGCAUGUGUCCCCGCAGACUGCUUGUGUGUGCCUGUUGAGGUGGCCGGUUCCCUCUUNNNNNNNNNNNNNNNNNNNNNNNNNNNNNNNNNNNNNNNNNNNNNNNNNNNNNNNNNNNNNNNNNNNNNNNNNNNNNNNNNNNNNNNNNNNNNNNNNNNNNNNNNNNNNNNNNNNNNNNNNNNNNNNNNNNNNNNNNNNNNNNNNNNNNNNNNNNNNNNNNNNNNNNNNNNNNNNNNNNNNNNNNNNNNNNNNNNNNNNNNNNNNNNNNNNNNNNNNNNNNNNNNNNNNNNNNNNNNNNNNNNNNNNNNNNNNNNNNNNNCUAAUGGAAAGCAAGCGGGCGAAUCUCUUACAUCAAGGUUUCAACACGUUGACGCCGACCGUCCUCCAUGACUAUUUCCUCAUCGAAAUGGUCCCAACAGGCUGAGGUUUUGGGUCGAACCCUCUUUGUACCAAUGGAGGUGAAGGUACUAGACUGGGUAGUGGAUUGGCUUCCGGACGCUCCAUACUCGUCGGAAGAGGGGUAUGUGAUGGUAUUGUGGGCUAUAUUAUCCAUCCACUCGGGGAUGUCCACAUCUAGAUCACUAGUAUUGAAACUGAACCGGCUGGGAUCACUACCCAUGGGAUCAUCCAUGUGUUGAGUGUGACAAAUAAGAGGGAGAGGAGUUUGAGUGUGAAAAAUGAGAGGGGUGGGCAACCCUUUCUAUAGCAAAAAUCUGACAUUUUUUGGGACCAAAUUUGCCCUACAAUGUUCAAAUAUUCAAAAUUGAGACAAAACAAACCUAACCCCCUCUAAACCCCCUAAACCCCUCUAAACCCCCUAAACCCCACCCACCGCUGCCACCGGAGGAGGCAUGUCACACGCUCCCUCCCCCCGCUGCUCCCUAAUCAGACGAGCCAACGACUCUUUCUGCUAUGGAACGAAUCUCUCAAUCGAUAGGAUUCCUCCCAUACCGUGCGUGCUGAGCGGUGCCUGUACCGGCCCAUUACUGUGCGUGCCAUGUCGGGCAUAGCAGCCCAGGCACGGCCCUAGCUGGGUCACGUGCCAGGCACGUCCCACUUCGCCUCGUGCCGUGCCGGUCCAUGACGGGCCAAACACGCGGGCUAUCGUGCAGGCCCAUAUAACAUGCCCGUUUGGCCAGGUUUGGGCGUAUCCUCAAGUCGCCAUGUUCACAUUAAAAAUUUACGUAUCCUGUACAUAUAGCAGGAGUAUAACAUCUUACGCGAAGCACCGGCAAGCACAGUUUCCCUUACAGUUUAUUUGUUAUGGACAGAGACAAGGUUUUACUUAAGCUGGCGAUUGUUGUAUGUAUUUAUGUUCAUCUGUUUAUUAUUCCCCUUGAACCAUUAUUAUUUUUGUGUUGAAACUGUUAUUAUAGUGCAUGUGAACAUGUCGCUCAGAGUAGUUAUCAAUCUUUUAUCAUCAACCAGUCGCUACCGAUAAAGCCAUCAUGAACAAAUUAAGAGAAAAUUAUGGUCCCUCGGCCAUACAGUAAUAAGGUCACAUGAACACGAUAAUUAGCUUAAACCAAUUUAUUUUUAUUGGUUUGUUUAUGAACUAAGUAGGACACUAAAUAUUUGUAUGAGAUGAAAAGACUGCCAUGACAUCUAAGUUAGAGCCAGCGAUCUGGUCACCCACGCCCCCGCGUGCCAGCCUCUGGCGACACGGGGAAACCCCAGCCGCCGCCGCCAGGGAGGCACCUCCCCGCCAGCCACCGCUGCGCCGCCGCCGGAGGGUCGGCCGGCGAAGCCGUGCCGUGCCCCGGGAUGGUGGCGGCGCAGCGGAUCCGUCCCACAAGCGCGUUCCCAGCCCCCCCUCCCGAUCCACCGCCCGCCGCCGCCUGGAUACUCCCCCUCCUGCCGUGCCGUCGCCGGAGGGCCGCCACGGCACGCCCUGGGAUGUCUUCGGCGGGCCGGAUCCACCGCUCCCGCGCUUCCCCAACCCCCAUCCCCCCUCCGCCGGCGCGUCCUCGAGCUCCCCGCGUCCUUACGUGCGUCGCGGGCGCCCAUCUCCCAGCUGCCAUGCGUCCCUGCCGGUCCAGCGUCGGGUGCGGCGUGCCUGCCAUGCCCAUGGCGCCCUCUCCUGCGGUCUCCCCUACCCCCGGCUUGGCCCAGCUCUGCUGGUGCUGCUCGGCCACGGGUUGGCUGCGACCUGCGGCCGGUCGCGGGGGUUCCCGGCCUGCUUUCCUGCGUAGGCGGCCCCCUCUUCCCCGACGGCCCAUCCCCCCUACCGAUCCACGAUGAUGGCUCACGCACAGCGGCGAUGAGGCUACAGUGCUAGUGGCAGCCUCGGUGCUCCUCAAGGCGGGCACUUGUUGGUGCUGCUCCGACCCCGGUGACCUUGGAUCCGCGUCUCUCCGGCGUCCAUGGUUGACGGCGUCCUAUGUCGGGCAGCUCUGGCCUUGGCGGACCAGCAACUGCGUCCUUUCCAGCUCGCUUGGCUCACCGACGUCCUGACGGCUAUGGCCUCGGCAAUAUGGAUCUGCGUCCCCCCAGUCCUUGUUUGCCGGCGUUGCUAAUCAUCGUCGGCCCACCCGCUUGUUGUUUGCUUUGCCGCCUGUCCUACCUGUAUGCCUCAAAGCCUUGCCUUUUGCUAGAUCCAACGCUCGUGUGUUCGGAGACGGUGCCAUCCUCCGAGGGAAGGUGCCUCCAAUCCCCUUCCAACACGGUGGCUCCGACCAGCGUCGACUUCCUCAUUCGACUCCAGAUACGGCGGCUAUGGGAUUGCUUAGCCUGAGGCUUGGGAGAAAUCCUUGCUCGGCUUGCCGGUGCGGGUAGCGACGGCAUUUGCGAAUGUCGUUCCCUCCUUGGAGGCGUUGUCAAGGCUCUCAGUUGCGCCCCUCUUCGAGCUCAGGGGAAACCCUAGGUAUGGUUCCUCCGGACCGGAUGGCGACGAUGUCUCGGCGACAAAUUCUUUCUUGAAGGUGCUAUCUUGCUCGCUCGUGGUGUCCCCGUGUUCUGGCUUACGUUGGAAGUCUUGCUAGUUUGGCAUUGCCGAUCUCGGUUCGGGCUUGGUAGGUUUACCUGUGAUGUAUUCUCUAUUCGGGCCGAGCACCCCUUGCCUGUCUGCUCUGGACACCAUGUUCACGCAUGCGUGCGUUCGUGUCAUGAGUUGUACCCCUCUUUGUACUCAUUCUACUCCUUUUAUCAAUGCAAUGAUACGCAAGCUUUGCGUAUUCACAAAAAAACAUCUAAGUUAGCUUGCUAGCUAACUAAGCGAGUUAGAAAACCAACUGGCAACCACAAUUCUUCUCUAAUAAAUUACAAAGCAUAUGGAUCAAACUACAAUUACAAAGCAUAUGGAGGUAAAACCCUACAUCAUGCUCUUGUUUAUAUUAAUGCAGGUGUAUCAAAUACAGAGUUGAUCUACCUCGAGAUCGUAAGUUCUGGUCUUACCCUAGAGUUAGACGAAUGUGAUUGCGUUGUUUCAGUCCCCUCUACGGGCUAAACCCUUUUACUUAUAUAUACACGCCAGGUAGGGCACCUAGGGUUACAAGGUCGGUAUCUAGGCGUGGAGGCAGCAAGAGAAGUGAUCUUGGAGUAUACGUCAAGUCUUCGGCAGAUACAGUCACGAUCUUGCCUCCAACGUGUAGCUUCCAGAGUCCAUCUUGAGAAGAAUGAGAGCCCAUUAGCCCAACCGAGGAACAUGGGCCGACUAGGUUAGUACCCCCUAGUCCAGGACACCAUUAAUAGCCCCUGAACUGGUCUUCUAUGUCGAGGACGAUUUCUUUGAUGAAGAUAACCUCAUAUCUGAAGUCCUUGGCUUGAUAGACGAGUUCUCCUCUGGGACUUUAAGAUCCCUGAAUCAUUCUUCAAAGGAGUGGUGAUUUGUGAACAAGACUCAGCCGAGCUCAUGCCUUGCCCGAAGAGACGGGAUUACUUAGCCUCGAAGGCCGACCACGUAGGUGUGAAUAGUGCCACCUAGCCUGACAACUUUACCGAAGAUGCGCGACCUACGACAGGCCAGGUAGUUACUGCCUGCCCCAACUACCAGCCCCAAAUCGUGACCCGAGGCAGGCUUUUUACAGGUGCAUUCCAUCGGAGUGGAGAUCGUGCCAUCUUAUUAGGGAUAUCAUCAAGAUUUUUCAAGAUGUUACGAACAACUGUUGAGGACCACACACUAAGCAGACACUCCCAAUGGUUGCAUAUGUCAUCCCUGUAUCCCACUAGAUUUCUAUUAUCAAGAAGAAAUAUUAGAUAGAAUUGUCAAAUAAGCACGCUGAAUCACCCUAGCAGAGAAUUAGAGUAUAUGGUGUCAUUAAUAUUCUGGAGAAAAUGUGGUUGUUGUGCAAAUGUUCUUUCGCUUGAACAAAGGAUUUUGGAAAUUGAAACCUGAAGGCAUGAUGCUUAUCUCAGUCAUAUGUUAGAUUCUCAGGAGCUACUUCAAGAGGCAUCGCUUUAUAUUGAAUCAACAGAGAAAGAAAAUGAACACGAUCAACACGCAACAAACAUCGGAUGCUCUGCUAGUGCAUGAGAAGAUAUCCACGCUUGGAGAAA
rnacentral:lncRNA from 1 species